rnacentral:ncRNA from 2 species
CAACGUGCUCCGGGGUCGGUGUAAUUCCGAGCCGGCGGUGACAGUCCGCGAACUGCGGGUGCGAGGUCCUCGACCUCACGCCCCUGGUUGAUCCGGUGGAAUUCCGGAACCGACGGUGAAAGUCCGGAUGGGAGGCGGCACGUGU